rnacentral:piRNA from 1 species
CAUGUACCCCUCUGCUACCAAC